UUUCCUCCCUGCCCCCAUGCUGCCGCUCUAUCAUGCUCUUCGCCAUUUGCUACCGGUUGUUCUCUCGCUGGUGCCAACGCUGUCCACGGAGCCGCUCUAGGCUGUUGGGAGGCCGUCCGCAUUGCGUGGGGAAGAUUUGGACGACACAGUCGCCUCGCCGGUCCCCGGGGCAGCUAGCGCUUCCAGGGUCGGAGGGUGCGCGGGGUUGAAAGCGGGCCGCUCCGCCCCGUCCCCCUCCCAGACCAGCAGAGGCAGCAGCCAGAGCAGCCGCAGCCUGCGCCCUCUCCCGCCUGCCCUUCACUCGCCCCGGGGUCUCUUUCCCCCUUCCUCCUCCUUCUCCUCCUCCUCCACCCCCUCCCCUUCCUCCUCCGCCCACCCCUAUUGUUCCGCCCCGGCCUCCCGCACUUCCCCUUCCCGCCCGCUCCCCUUUGUCCCUCAGUCGCCUUGCGCCUGCAGGUCAUUCAGAGGACCCAAGACAUGGUGGUUACUAGUAGACUUCCCACAGUAGUUCUUCAUUCCAUGUGGACUCCUUCAAGGGCAGUGAGCAUCACAGCUUCCCUUGAACUUCGUCUGGAGUGUUACUGAGAUUUUCAGUUAUUUGGACAAACUUGAUGGAUUUAAAGCAGACAUGGUGAGUAUGGGAUCUGGGUGGCCUUUUCUAUAUGGAUUUUUUUUU
rnacentral:lncRNA from 1 species